rnacentral:rRNA from 1 species
UACAGAGGCCCCAAGCGUUACUGAGAAUCACUGGGUUUAAAGGGUGCGUAGGUGGCGCGUUAAGUCCGUUGUGAAAGCCCUGGGCUCAACCCAGGAACUGCUUCGGAUACUGGCGCGCUUGAGGCUAGUAGAGGUCACUGGAACUGACGGUGGAGCGGUGAAAUGCGUAGAUAUCGUCAGGAACGCCAAUGGUGAAGACAGGUGACUGGGCUAGAUCUGACACUGAGGCACGAAAGCGUGGGGAGCGAACGGG